GGUUCAAUAGCAUAGCGGUUAUGCUCCAAGGUUGCAAAUCGGAAGGUCGCCAGUUCGAAUCCUGUUGGGGGCG